GGCUGAGCCGAGCCGAACUGAGCCGAAGUGGGAUGAGCCCAGCCAGCCUGAGCUGAGCCGAGCCGAGCCGAGCCAAAAUGGGCUGGGCCGAACCAAACUGAGCUGAGCUGGGCCAGGCUGGGCUGAGCUGAACUAGGCUAGGCUGAGCUGAGCUGAACUGAACUGAGCCAAACUGGGCUGGGCUGAGCCAGGCCAAGUUGGGCUGAGCCUAGCUGAGCCAAACUGGGCUGAGCCGAGCUGAACCGAGCCAGACUGGGCUAAGCCGAACUGCUGAGCUGAACUGGGCUAAGCUGGACUGUGCUGAGCUGGGCUGAACUGGGCUAAGCUGGGCUGUGCUGAGCUGGGCUGAACUGGGCUAAGCUGGACUGUGCUGAGCUGAGCUAAAUUGAACUGAGCUCAACUGUGCUGGACUGAGUUUAACUGAACUGAGCCCAGCUGAGCAGAGCCUUGCCGAGCUGAACUGGGCUGGGCUGGGCUGAGCUGGAUCGAGCUGAAUUGGGCUGAGCUCCACUGAGCUGAACUGAGCCAGGCUGAACUGAGGAGUGGACUGGGGGGAGGCCAGUGGAGACACCUCAUUUCAGAGUAGGGAAGAAGAGAUCUGAGUUCCCGUCAGGGCUUGAAGUUGCUGCCUUGAGGGUGGAGGAGAGGCAGCAACUGCUGGGGUGCAGUUGGGGAGGGUGAAGGAUUGAGCUCCGAGAUCCCACUUUUGGGGAGAAAAAGGUGGGGGGCAAAAGGGACAGGGGAGUCCUGCAUCAUGACACUGGGAAUGAGAGAGCCCCACACCAGGCAGGACAUGGGAGCCCCUCACCGUGGCGGCAGGGCUCACUCCCGCCGGCGGAAAUGCUGCUCCGCUCUGUCCUUGGAAGAAGCGAGCUUUCCUCACCCUCCUCCUCCUCAUCGCCUGCCUCUCAUCUCUUGAAGCGAGCUGUAAAAAAACAGGAAAAACUGAAUUGCACAAGGAUUUCACAGCGUGCGGAGCCGUGCGAAUGCACGGCACAUGGCAAUCAUUCACCCGCCAGCCUCCCUGUGCAGUGGGCAACCUCAGGUGUCCACUAGGAAGGAAAUGAAGUGCCACCUGGACAACCCUGAAGCCGGAGGUUCAAGAAAUACGGCUUUCCUCAUCGUACUGUUUUCUUUUAACAGUUGCAUGUUUUGUCAGUUCUGGCCAAAAGGAGAGCAAGAAUGAGGGCAACUGUUGGCAAGAGGUGGCGAAGAAAACCCUGCUGGAUCAGGGUCAGGAGGCUGUGAAUGCUCAUCACCUUCUAGGGGAGUUACUUGAUGCAGCUGUAAGCAGAAGGACCUUGCCAUUCUUGACACUGAAAGUUUGAUUCCAAUUUAUGAUAAGAGAGAAAGUAUACCUGGAGAUUGAUUUGGGCAUUAAAAAAAAAAUAAAGGGUGCAAAGGGAAGAGCUAAUUUCUUUGUCCAUCUCUUUUUCUCGGCUGCCUUCAUCUACAACCUUGGGAAAAUCUGGUCUGCUUCAUUUUCACUCUCUGUAAAAUGGGAAUAGUAAUAGUGACAGAGCUCUCCCUUUUAGAUCCCUGGAUCAAAGGUACUAUAUAAGUUCAAAGUGCUGUUUCUAUAGGGCAUUAUUACCAAAUUCACUAUAAGCGAUUCCAUUGGGUACUUGAUAACAACAGUAGAAUCAGUCAAACACCCUCGACGCAUUGCAUGGUCCCAGAUACCUUUCAGAGUCUCUUUGUGUGCCAUCCCACCCCCUGAGGUCUGCAGGGAUGGGGCUUUUGGAGCCUGGAUUUUGCAGGAGCAGAAGGGGUACAGCCCAUGUCUUUGCUUCUGGCCCCUGAGCUAUGCACCGCUUUUCUUUUUGACCCGAUGAGGACAACUGGAACUAGCCCUUUUAAAAACAGGUUUAAAACAUACAACUUUAUAUAUAUAUAUAUAUAUAUAUGUAUAAAAUUUCAUAAGUCCUUUAGCAUGUAAUGCUAAACUCUUGUUGCUUUUUUGUUGUUUUACUCUUGCAUGGUUUGUUGUCAUUUAAAUCUGUCUUUGUUUCACCGCAAAAUGGUUAGGAUGCUUUCAGUUCUAGACACAGCGCUAAUAGAAAUUUGAUUCCUAUUAGCGUUGCAAUUUUUAGCUAUUAGGUAGCUAACCAUUUUCUAAAAUUGCACCUUUUAAAAAAAAAAACAAAAACAAGCCCUACCCCAGGAAAACUUGUGUCUUAAUAGUGGAAGUGUUACAAUUAUUAUUAAUGCUAACUAGUUCUACUGUUCUUUCAAUUACAAAAAUGUUUCUAAAGUGCAAUUUGUGUUUCUAAUUUUUCUAAAAUAUAGUGUGUUACAGUUCACCAUCAAAGCAAGAAGAGUAAAUGUUGUAUCAGAUAUUACAGUACGGAGCUUCAUGAGUAAAUUCGGGAACGGUCCGGUUAUUCUACUACUUUUCUUUUCCUCCUGCCAAUAAGCACAGAGUGUGUAUUUGCACCUUCAGAAGCUUCCUUAGAGCUCUUUUAUACUUUAAUAGGUUUGUUUUGGUGGCUGUUUGCUAGACGAGUAUGCUGCAGACUUAUUUUUUUUCAAAAGGUCAAGCAGUCUCCUAGCAUGUCCAUUGUAUAUCUCUGCAGUAAGAAAUCCUCAGUGCAAAGGAGAGCUUCAUGGUUAAAUUUUAAAAGAUAAUGAUUUAAAUCUUUUUGUUAGCCUCUUUUUUUUUUCUUCUUCUUUCACGUCCUUAGCACUGCUUUUGGAGAGUCAACUUUUAAAACAGUAGAAAGCCCAUUAAUUAAAAAUAACAAACAGCUAAAGGUAAAAUUAGUUGGUCACCUUUCGUUCUGAAACCCCGGCAUUUAGCUAUGUUUGUAAGGAACAUACUCACGAAUGAGUAGCCGUGGCACUAAUAUAAGGACAAAGCAAAAUUACCAAUUAUGGAAACAUCUAGGGCUCUGGGCCUGAAUCUUUGAUUUCCCAUAUGGAUCUUAAAAACGUAUGCAUAAUUGGCUUCUAACUGUGCAUACUCUAGGAACAUAUUCAAGAAUCAAAUACAGAUAUUUUUUCAGACUCUGACUAAAUAUAUAUUCGCUUGUCAGCAAAAAAUGCAUCAUUCUGAUCCUAUUAAAAAGAGAAAAAAAAUAAAAGGAAUGAUAUUCCACCAAAGUGAAGUAGUAGUGUAUUUAAAAAAUCGUGGAUUUUCACUUUCAUACAGGAAAAAGAGAGGAGGUGCUUACAAUAUUUAGGCACUCUGAGAUAGACGAAUAGUCAGUUUAACUUCUGC